AUUGAACGCUGGCGGCAGGCCUAACACAUGCAAGUCGAGCGGAUGAAGGGAGCUUGCUCCUGGAUUCAGCGGCGGACGGGUGAGUAAUGCCUAGGAAUCUGCCUGGUAGUGGGGGAUAACGUCCGGAAACGGGCGCUAAUACCGCAUACGUCCUGAGGGAGAAAGUGGGGGAUCUUCGGACCUCACGCUAUCAGAUGAGCCUAGGUCGGAUUAGCUAGUUGGUGGGGUAAAGGCCUACCAAGGCGACGAUCCGUAACUGGUCUGAGAGGAUGAUCAGUCACACUGGAACUGAGACACGGUCCAGACUCCUACGGGAGGCAGCAGUGGGGAAUAUUGGACAAUGGGCGAAAUCCUGAUCCAGCCAUGCCGCGUGUGUGAAGAAGGUCCUCGGAUUGUAAAGCACUUUAAGUUGGGAGGAAGGGCAGUAAGUUAAUACCUUGCUGUUUUGACGUUACCAACAGAAUAAGCACCGGCUAACUUCGUG
rnacentral:rRNA from 1 species